rfam:Anisakis simplex genome assembly, scaffold: ASIM_scaffold0000726
CCAACGGCCCUCUUUAGGGCCACAAAUCUAAUGAACCAAACUUUGU